AACCUGUCUUUUAAUCGAUAAUCCACGAUAAUUUUUACUUAGUUUUAUAUUUUAUAUACCGCCAUCUAGAAUUUCUUUAAAUUUGUUGUUCUAAAUAAUUAUAAUAUGUUAGGUAAAGGUGUAGACUACAAUUAAGCUAAGAUGGGUUACUGUAAAUAUAAUUUAAGGAUAAAUUUAUAAAGAUAAAUUUUGAAAAAGGAUUUAAAAGUAAUUAUUUAAAUAAUAUUUAAAAAUGAAAUUUUCUAAAGAUGUGC
rnacentral:rRNA from 1 species